CCUACGGGAGGCAGCAGUGAGGAAUAUUGGUCAAUGGCCGGAAGGCUGAACCAGCCAUGCCGCGUGAAGGUCAGUGCCCUAUGGGCGUUAAACCUCUUUUGUGCGGGAGCAAUAAUGGUCACGUGUGGCCAGACGAGAGUACCGUACGAAUAAGCAUCGGCUAACUCCGUGCCAGCAGCCGCGGUAAUACGGGGGAUGCAAGCGUUAUCCGGAUUUAUUGGGUUUAAAGGGUGCGUAGGCUGUGAGGUAAGUCAGCGGUGAAAUGCCCCCGCUCAACGGGGUGAAGUGCCAUUGAUACUGCCUUGCUGGAAUGCGGAUGCCGUGGGAGGAAUGUGUGGUGUAGCGGUGAAAUGCAUAGAUAUCACACAGAACCCCGAUUGCGAAGGCAUCUCACGAAUCCGCGAUUGACGCUGAUGCACGAAAGCGUGGGUAUCAAACAGGAUUAGAUACCCGGGUAGUC
rnacentral:rRNA from 1 species